UACGUAGGGGGCAAGCGUUGUCCGGAUUUAUUGGGUUUAAAGGGUGCGUAGGCGGCUUCGUAAGUCAGUGGUGAAAUAUGGCAGCUUAACUGUCAAGGUGCCAUUGAUACUGCGGAGCUUGAGUACAGAUGAGGUAGGCGGAAUUGACGGUGUAGCGGUGAAAUGCUUAGAUAUCGUCAAGAACACCUAUAGCGAAGGCAGCUUACUAGGCUGUAACUGACGCUGAGGCACGAAAGUGUGGGGAUCAAACAGG
rnacentral:rRNA from 1 species